AUCACUUCUUGGCCUUUUGGCUGUGAGCCAGUAAGUGUGGACUCUGUUCUUCUCACCUUAGUGUCUGAUGAAGCUCGUACCGCAGGACAAUAGAUAAGUGGAUUUUGGAGCAAGGAGAGGGGAUGGAAUCUUGCUUUUUCUACACAGUGCAUCAGCUUUGUAUCACAGCACCUCCUGGAGUGGAGCACACAGA